CGGGUGCCUCUGGCUCCCCACUUCCUGCCAGAGAUGUGGGCCAAAGAAAAUCAUUAGCAGCCCAGGCUGGGGGAGGGUUCAUCCUAGCCUUCUUCCCCUCCUCUCCCAGCCUCCUGGGCUGGCCACACUGUUUAUUAUUCUAAAGGAGGAAUUUGGCCUGCUGGCCAGGAGAUGGGAGGUCACUCACUGCAAGGAGGCUGGCCUGGGAAAUGCCUGGGGGAGCUAAAGAAAGACUAAGCUGCAAAGGAGCCUCCUCACGUGGGAAGAAGAGAGCCAGAGAAGCCCAGAAUCACUUCCGGGCCACAUAGACACAAAAGUGGGUUCCAGUUGCGGCCAAGACAGACCAGGCAAAUGAGCUUCCAGGGGGAGAAUGCAAGGCAGUGCCAUCAUUGAACUGACUUGAUUCUCUCUGAAAGAAGCACCCCUCACCAGACCCUUGAAGCCGCUGUGACAAUAACUGGAUCUCCUGUCUGCUCCGGGACUCAUUUGCAUAGCCAUUCAGAGAGGUGGUGAUAGUCUUUUUUUUUUUUUUCUUAAACAGGGUCUCUCUGUAUAGCCCUGGCCAUUCUGGAACUAGCUCUGUAGACCAGGCUGGCCUUGAACUCAGAGACCUGCCUGCCUGUCUCAUCAAUGCUGGGAUUAAAAGUGUGCACCACCAUCUGGCUCUGUGAUGGUCAUCUCAAAGAGUUGACACUAUUCUAAAGUUCUACCUUUUUGACUCCUCAAAGAGAAGGUUCUGGCCACCAUCAUUCUCAAUGGUGCCACCUGAGGAAGUAAUGACUGCUCAGGAAUGCAGAUGACAUGUUUGAGGCCAUAGUACCUGGGAAUCCAUGACAUAUGUCAUCCCACUGACUCAGUGUGUAGAUUCCGACACACUGUCUAGAUGGCCUCAGUUUCCUCCUCUGUACCACUGGGAGUUAGAUGCUUUUUCAGGUGACUUCCCACCAAAUGAACCUGGGGUGUUUCUGGGGUGGCGUGGACAGCAAGCCACCGGUCGAGGACUCAUCAGAGCGGGGCUCAGGGGCCCAGCACCACCUCCUGGGCAUCUCAAUGACUCUGACAGUCCUAGCUUUCCAUUCAACGCCUUAUGGAACAUUUUGUGCUUCUGGAAGCUGUUAUGUUCUGAGCAGCCCCAGGAAGGACCAGGCAGCCAACUGAUGGCAAGUAUCUGAUAACUCCCUUUCUUUGAGAUAGGGAACUGUGCCCCAGAAAAGAGUCACCUAGGUCACCAUGGGCACCACACCAAGAGGCAGGCAUCCCUUCCCUACCAUGCUAUCCUGUCCAGUGAGUCCCCUACAGCGGAGAAAAUCUUCCACUUCUACUCCUUGCUGUGGUCAGGAAGCCCUCAGCAUUGCCCCUGUUCAGGCCAGGUCCAGACAGGGGGUUGACUCAGCUUCUCACAACAGAUCCGAGGCACCCCUUAGGGAAUCAGAGUGAGGCCCUAAGCCCAAGGGAGCAAGCAUGCGUGGGAGUCAUCCUCAGAGCCCCCGCCUUCCCGCUCACAAGCACAUACAAUUCCCCACUCCUUUCCCACCAACUUAAUCUAAAUAAAUCCAGCCCAUCUUGGCCACAUC